AAAAAAAAAAAAGAAGGACACUUUUUCACGCGCAUCCGUGUGAAGAGACCACCAAACAGGCUUAGUGUGAGCAAUAAAGCUGUGUAUUUCACCUGGGUGCAGGCAGGCUGAGCCCAAAAAGAGUCAGCGAAGGGAGAUGGGGUGGGGCUGCUUUAUCGGAUUUGGGUAGGGAAGGAAAAAGGGGUUGUUCUCUGGCAGGCAGGAGUGGGGGUCACAAGGUACUCAGUAGGGGAGCUUUUGAGCCAGGAUGAGCCAGGAGAAGGAAUUUCACAAGAUAAUGUCAUCAGUUAAGGCAGGAACAGGCCAUUUUCAUUUAUUUUGUGGUAGAAUGUCAUCAGUUAAGGCAGGAACCGGUCAUCUGGAUGUGUACGUGCAGGUCACAAGGGAUAUGAUGGCUUAGCUUGGUCUCAGAGGCUUGACGUUCCUGUCUUCUUAUAUUAAUAAGAAAAAUAAAACGAAAUAGUGGUAAAGUGUUGGGACGGCAAAAAUUUUUGGGGAUGGUAUGGAGAGGUAAUGGGCGAUGUUUCUCAGGGCUGCUUUGAGCGGGAUUAGGGGCAGCAUGGGAACCUAGAGUGGGAGAGAUUAAGCUGAAGGAAGAUUUUGUGGUAAGGGGUGAUAUUGUUGGGUUGUUAGAAGAAACAUUUGUCAUUUAGAAUUAUUGGUGAUGGCUUGGAUACAGUUUUGUAUGAAUUGAAAAACUAAACAGAAUAAGAGAAGGAGAAAAACAGGUAUUAAAGGACUAAGAAUUGGGAGGACCUAGGACAUCUAAUUAGAGAGUGCCUAAUGAGGUUCAGCAUAGCCUUGCCAGCAAAGAUUAUGUAUUUAAGAGUUAAGAGUGGUGGUUUGGGGAUAGUAACAGUAGAUAUCAGCUGUGAUGGCUUGGAGAAACAGUGUAAACCACCAGUGUAAACAAGAGCAGGACAUGUAUGAGUUGUUGAGAACGAUGAAUAGGAGUAUGACUAGACAGAAGAUAGUAGGGAUGACAAGUUUUUUGGGGCACAGUCCAAGUUGGUCUGGUGUCUGGAAUGAGACUGGGGCCUAAUAAAAAGGAGCGUCUAUACAGGAGCUCAAAUGGGCUGUACCUUGUAGCAUUCCAAGGACAGGCCUGACUUCUGAGAAGGGAAAGUGCUAAAAGUAUUGUCCAGUCCUUUUUUAGUUGGUGGCUGAGCUUGGUGAGGUGUGCUUUUAAAAGACCAUUAGUCUGUUCUACCUUUCCUGAAGACUGAGGACUGUAAAGGAUAUAAAGGUUUCACUGAAUACUAAGAGCCUGAAACAAUGUUUGGCUGAUUUGACUAAUAAAGGCCAGUCUACUAUUGGACUGUAUAGAGGUGGGAAGGCCAAACUGAGGAAUUAUGUCUGACAGAAGGGAAGAAAUGACCGUGGUGGCCUUCUUAGACCCUGUGGGAAAGGACUCUACCUAUCCAGUGAAAGUGUCUACCUAGACCAAAAGGUGUUUUAGUUUCCUGAAUCGGGGCACGUUGAGUAAAGCUAUUAUGUCAGUCCUGGGUGGGGGCAAAUCCCUGAGCUUGAUGUGUAGGGAAGGGAGGGGGCCUGAAUAAUCCCUGAGGAGUAGUAGAAUAGCAGAUGGAACACUGAGAAGUUAUUUCUUUGAGGAUAGAUUUCCACAAUGGAAAGGAAAUAAGAGUUUCUAAGAGGCGGGCUAGUGGCUUGUACUAUAGCAUAGCCUGCCUUUGCUGGUGUGUGGCGAGUAGGCCUGGUGGAACUGCCAUCAAUAAACUAAGUGUGAUCAGGGUGAGAAACAGGGUAGAAGGAAAUGUGGGGAAAUGGCGAGAAUGUCAGGUGGAUCAGAGAGAUACAGUCAUGAGGGUCAGGUGUGGUAUCAGGAAUAAUGUGGGAGGCCGGAUUGAAGUCCGGGCCAGGAACAAUGGUACUUACGGGAGACUUAACAAAGAGUGAGUACAGCUGAAGGAGCCGGGGAGCAGAAAGUAUAUGCAUCAGGUGUGAGGAAGAAAAUAGAUUUUGGAAAUUAUGAGAACUGUAGAGAGUGAGUUGAGCAUGGUUUGUGAUUUUAAGGGCCUCUAAAAGUAUUAGGGCAGCAGCAGCCACUGCACGGAGAUAUAAUGGCCAGCCUAAAACAGUAAGGUCAAGUUGUUUGGACAAAAAGCCUACAGGAGGCAAUCGUGGUCCUUGUGUAAGAAUUUCGACUGCACAGCGCUGCAUUUCGGUUGUGUGUAAUGAAAAGGGUGGGGAUGAGUCAGGGAGAGCUAGGGUGGGGGCAGUCUUUAAAGCUGUCUUCAAGGAACAGAAAGAGGGGUGGGGAAAGGAUUUAAGAUCUAUGGGGUCAGCUAGGUUUCCUUUUUUGAGUUUAUAUAAUGGUUUUGUUAGGAUGGCAAAACCAGGUAUCUAAAGGCAAAAGUAUCCAACCAUGCCCAGGAAGGAAAGGAGUUGUUUUGUAGCUGGGGUUGGGGUUUGAGAGAUUAGUCGGACACGAUCGGCAGGGAGAGCACAUGUGUUCUUAUGAGAAUUAUGCUGAGAUAGGUAACAGAUAAGGGAGAAAUUUGAGCUUGACUGAAGUAAUGGGGGCUGUCUGUGAAGCUUUGCGUCAGUACAGCCCAGGUAAUUUGCUGAGCCUGAUGGGUGUCAGGGUCAGUCCAAGUGAAAGCGAAGAGAGGCUGGGAUGAAGGGUGCAAAGGAAUAGUAAAGAAAGCAUACUUGAGAUCCAGAACAGAAUAAUGGGUUGUGGAGGGAGGAAUUGAGGAUAGGAGAGUAUAUGCGUUUGGCACCAUGGGGUGGAGAGGCAAAACAAUUUGGUUGAUAAGGCAAAGAUCCUGAACUAACUUGUAAGGCUUGUCUGCUUUUAGGACAGGUAAAAUGGGGGCAUUGUAAAGAGAGUUUAUAGGCUUUAAAAGGCCAUGCUGUAGCAGGCGAGUGAUAACAGGCUUUAAUCCUUUCAAAGCAUGCUGUGGGAUGUGAUAUUGGCAUUGAGAGGGGUAAGGGUGAUUAGGUUUUAAUGAGAUGGUAAGGGGUGCAUGAUCGGUCGCCAAGGAGGGAGUAGAGGUAUCUCCUACUUGUGGGUUAAGGUGGGUGGCAAUGAGAUGUAGCUAUAGUCCAGGAAUACUCAGGGAAGCAGAUAAUUUAGUUAAAGUGUCUCAGCCUAAUAAGGGAACUGGGCAGGUGGGGAUAACUAAAAAGGAGUGCUUAAAAGAGUAUUGUCUAAGUUGGCACCAGAUUUGGGGAGUUUUAAGAGGUUUAGAAGCCUGGCCGUCAAUACCCACAACAGUUAUGGAGGCAAGGGAAACAGGUCCUUGAAGAGAAGGUAAUGUGGAGUGGGUAGCCUCCAUAUUGAUUAAGAAGGGGACGGACUUACCCUCCACUGUGAGAGUUACCUAGAGCGUCUGUGAUGGUCCUGUAGGCUUCCGAAGUGAUCGAUCAGGCAUUGUCAGUCUUCAGCUGCUAAGCCAAGAAGAUCUGGGAAGGAGUCAGUCAGAGAGCCUUGGGCCAGAGUUUCAGGGGCUCUGGGAGUGGCUGCCAGGUGAAUGGAACAGUCCAAUUUCUAGUGGGGUCCUGCAAAGAUGGGACAUGGCUUAGGAGGAAUCCCGGGCUGUGGGCAUUCCUUGGCCUGGUGGCCAGCUUUCUGGCACUUGUAGCAAGCUCCUGGGGGAGGCGGUUCUGGAGGAACACCUGGCCACUGCGCUUUAGACGUUUGGAAGUUCUUGUGUGCUGGAGAUGUGGCUGGGGUUUGUCUCACUGUGGAGGAAAAGAAUUACAACUCAGAAAUAUGUUGCUUCUUGGCUGCCUCUACUCUAUUAUUGUACACCUUGAAGGCGAGGUUAAUUAAGUCCUGUUGUGGGGUUUGAGGGCCAGAAUUUAAUUUUCAGAGCUUUAUUUAAUGUCGGGAGCAGAUUGGGUAAUACAAUGUAGAUUGAGAAUAAGACGGCCUGUUGACCUUUUAGGGUCUAGGGCUGUAAAGCAUCUCAGGGUUGCUGCCAAAUGAGCCACGAACUGGGCUGGAUUUUCAUAUUUGAUGAAAAAGAGCCUAAACCCUAUCUGAUUUGGGAUAAAGAAAAAGGAACAUUAACCUUGACUGUGCCUUUAGCUCCAGACACCUUAUUAAGAGGAAAUGGCUGGGCAGGUGGAGGAGGGCUAGUCAUGGAAUGAAACUGUAAGCUGGAGCUGGUGUGAGGAGGGGAGGUGAUAAAAGGAUUAUAGGGUGGAGGAGCGGAGGCUGAGGAAGAAUUGGGGCCUAGCUCAGCCUGGUGAGGAGGGGAGAUGUCAGGUUAGUCUGCAGAAAAGGAAGAUUAGAAAGACUCAGUGACGCUUGUGGUUGGGACUGAGGGGACAGGUGGGACGGAAAGAAGGAAUAUUUGGGAUGAGUUGCACUAGGAACAGACUAGGGAGGGACCAAUGUGUAAAAGAAUGCCUGGACGUCAGUCACCUCAGACCGUUUGCCCAUUUUACGACAAGAAAUAUCUAGAUCUUGUAGGAUGGAAAAAUUGAAAGUGUCAUUUUCUAGAUAUUUGGAAAUACUGUCGAGUUUGUAUUGGGGUCAAGAGGCAUUGUGGAAGAAAAUAAGGCAUUUAGGUUUUAGGUCAGGUGUGAGUUGAAGAGGUUUUAGGUUUUUAAGAACACAGGCUAAGGGAGAAGAAGGGGGAAUGGAGGGCAGAAACUUGCCCAUAGUGAAGGAGGUAAGCCUAGGGAAAAGAGAGAGUAGAGACACAGAGAUAAGGGGUGGGGGGUUCUUGCCUUCCAGAAAAGCGAGAAAGGGGUUGGGGUGUAGAAAUAAAGGGUUGUGGUGCAGAGCUAAGAGGUCAGAGCACAGAAAUAAGGGGUUGGGGUGCAGAGCUAAGAGGUCAGGUCACGGAAAUAAGGGAUAGGGUCACAGAGAUAAGAGUUUGGGGCAUGGAAAUAAAGGAUCGGGGCACAGAGAUAAGAGGGGGUUCCUGCCCCUCCCCCAGAAAAGCGGGACUUGCUGCUAAGGGUGAAGGAGAAGGGGUUGAGGGGUUCUUGCCCCUUCCCCCAGAAAAGCGGGACUUGCCACUAAGGGUGAAGGACCAAGUCAGGCGUCCCUGCGUGGUCUGACACCUCUGAAGCCUGGCUGAAUAAUCAGAGAGGUGUCCCUGCAAUGAUUAAACACCAAGGAAAGGCUGCCUUCCCUAGUCUGUGACAGGCACCGGAAUUUUGGCUCCACGGAUAAAACGUGUCUCCUUUGUCUCUACCAGAAAAUGAAAGGAAUUGAAAUUAAGAGAAGGGAGAGAUUGAAGUGUGGCGCCAAGAUUGAAAGGAGAAAGAGGUUGAGGGAUAGUGAGGGAGGUUGGAGAAGAGAGUAAAAAGAAGCUGCUUCCCAGAUUUGAAAUUGGUGAGAUGUUUCUUGGGCUGGUCAGUCUGAGGACCUGAGGUCGUAGGUGGAUCUUUCUCACAGAGCAAAGAGCAGGAGAACAGGGGAUUGAUCUCCCAAGGGAGGUCCCCCCCCCGCAUCCGAGUCACAGCACCAAAUUUCACAUGGGUGUGUGUGAAGAGACCACCAAACAGGGUUUGUUUGAGCAAUAAAGCUGUUUAUUUCACCUGGGUGCAUGCGGGCUGAGUCCGAAAAGAGUGAGCAAAGGGAGAUAGGGGUGGGGCCAUUUUAUAGGAUUUGGGUAGGUAAAGGAAAAGGGGAGGUUGUUCUCUGGCAGGAUGGGAGCUGACGGCUUCUCAGCAUCUUUUAACUCAGUUUAAAGAUGACUAUCAACAACAUCUAGUCAGCAUCUGUUGCUCUUGACAGCUGGGACUUCAUUUCCUUUCUCUUUCUCCACCUCUCUAACCUCUUUAAGACUCUGUCUUUGUCAUGGGUACAGCAUCACCUGUGUGACCCUUAGGCUCUCUUACUUACAUGUGAUCUACAUAUUGUGUCUUUACUUCAGGGCUUCUCAGCCAGGGGGUGAUUUUGCCCCCCAGAGAACAUGUGGCCAUGUCUGGAGACAGUUUUGGUGGUUGCGGCUGGAGGAGGUGGUGCUACUGGCAGCUAAUGGGUAGAGGCCAGGGAUGCUGCUAAGUGUCCUACAAUGCCCCGACAACUCCCACUAAGACAGAGUAAUGAUCCAGCCCCAAAUGUCAAUAGUGCUGAAAGUGAGACACCCUGAUUCCAUCUUAGAGAUCAUCUAAGCACAUUUGGCCAAAUUGUUUUUGCUACUGUCCCAUGAAGAAAAGGCAGACUCAUGACUGAUGGCAACAUCGAUGGGAAUUUUGUUUACCUCUUCUUGGUGGACUUUGGGAUACGAUGACUUACCAUUUGUGCAAGUUGUGCAUUGCACAACUCCAGGGGGUGCCACCCACAUAUUUAUGAAAAUGCCACCCCAGGAAUUGCACAGUACAUAGUCUACAUGGCUAUAAGCAGUUGCUCUGGUUUUGGGGUUACCCUGGGGUGCUCUGAAACUGGGAGGAACUUUAUUUUUGGCCAUUAGAGGCCCUGAGCAUGACAUUGAGUAUCCUUUCAAGAAAGGAGAAAUGUUGAACAGAGAGGACCUCAUUUUUAUAACUCUUGAUCAUCAUCUAGUUACGGAGCAUCCACUUUUCACCCCUGGGCCAUGUCCAUUUGACGGAUGUAAAAUGGCCAAAUUAUAACAUCAUGGCUUUCACUUUUGAUAGCUUCUUCCCGGAACAUGGCUGUAAGAUCCUCUCAUUUUCAACUGAUUCAUUGGGGGAGAAAAUAUACACGGCUGCCCUAAGACUUUCUGUUACACACCAUUUGCUUGACGGGAUUUCUUUAGUUUCUGUAGCAUAACUUAUUCUAACUGGUCCUCAAUCACUUUGCAAUAAAAACUGAGCUUGUGAAAAUGUUCAUUGUCAUUACCAGUGAUGGAGCAGUAAGUACAGAGUUCUGCAGAGGGAAGGAAUCGAGAGAUUUAAACUAGCAGAAUGAGCCGCUCACCCUCAGAAUUGCUUUUAUUCUUGGUGAGAACUGAGGGGAAUUUCGACAGGGUUCAGUGGGACUGCGGGAAGUGGGGCUGGGAGGUGGCUGUUUGCACGUGUGGUCAGCAAAUCCAGUGAGGGGGUCCAUGUACUGUGGGCAGCCCCACAGAUGGAGUAGGGAUUGCCCUGGACUGAGUACUGGCUCAUCAGAUUGCAAACCGCCAUUCUCAAGACAUCGAGGCCCAGGCUGGUGCCGGAGAUACAUUGCAGUGUGUCAGUCUUUCUUCCAUCGCUCCUCUCCAAUGACAGUUCCCGAUUUUCCACCGAGGAGUCACUAGUACCCCACGGCAUGUGUGUGACUAGCCACUCCCCACCCUGAUCUGGGGCUGGGGCAUGUGGUCCCAGCCUGGAUGUCAAUAUCCUUCCACCACCCUGGCCACAGUGAUUGGGCCUGAGAAGCAGAUUAGCCAAAGGAAAGACAAUCUUGGAAAUUUCAUGUUCAUGCUUAAGAAAGUAAAAUGGAAAGCGGGGGGAGGGUGAGGGGUCAUUCUGAUGAUAUAGUUUGAGGACCUGGAUGUAGCCACACCUGUAGCUGUCAACUCUGUGCCAUAGUACUGCUUUUUUUUUUUUUCCUUCAAAUUUAAAUACUUCCUAGAGGCAAGGUCUUACUAUGUUUCUUAGGCUGGUUUUGAAAUGUCCCUUUCGGGGGGAUGCUUUUACUGCUUCACUUCCUUUCUAUGACAGCUCCUGGAAUCAGAAGACAAGGGAGAUGAUUUUUUUUUUUUUUUUUUUUUUUUUUUUUUGAGACAGGGCUUGCUCUAUUGCCCAGGCUGGAGUGCAGUGGUGCAAUCACAGCUCGCCACAGCCUUGAUCUUCUGGACUCAAGCGACCCUCCUGCUUCAGCCUCCUGAGUAGCUGGGACUGUAGGCGAGUAGCACCAUGCCUAGCUAAUUAAUUUUUUUUUUUAAUGAGAUCUCACUAUGUCACCCAGGCUGGCUACAUACUCCUGGGCUCAAGUGAUCGCCCUGCCUUAGCUUGCCAAACUUACAGGUGUGAGCCCCCAACACCAGUCAACACCGUGGUCUUAUGCACCUGGUGUCCCCCUAGGCCCUGAGCAAUGAUCCUCCUGCUUCAACCUCCCAAAGUGCUGGGAUAACAGAUGUGAAGCACCAUGUGUGGCCCACAUAGUAUUCUUAUGGGUUAAAUUGAGUCCUCCUCAAAAGAUGUUGAAAUCCUAAAUUCUAGUAGCUCAGAAUGUGACCUUAUUUAGCAAUAGAGUUAUUGCGGAUGCUAUUGAUUAGAAU
rnacentral:lncRNA from 1 species